GAGGGUAUAGCUCAGUGGUAGAGUGCAUGCCUAGUAUGCAUAAGGUCUUGGGGUCGAUCCCCAGUGCCUCCA
rfam:Camelus ferus unplaced genomic scaffold scaffold1484, whole genome shotgun sequence.